AAUGAACAGCAAAAAAUUUUUGUCUCCACUUCCAAGAUGGGGAAGUCCUGUAGCAGAGAGGCUAAGUGGCUGGCUUGAAGUUACUGGGUUAGCCAAAACCUUUGUUCAGGUUUUUUUUCCAUAAGAUGUUAAGGAAAAACCCAAACAAAAUUUUUGGCCAACCCAAUAUAUGACUAGUUGGUGGCACAAGUGGGAUUUGAAGUCAGAGAGCUGACUCUUGAGUCAUUAUAUUAGCAUUGAGUACUUACCAUGUGUCAAUUACUGUACCCAGUCUUUUAUCACUUACUUCUCCAGUUUUAUACCAUGUGAUACUAUGAAACAGGCAAUUUAUAUACGGAGCCACAGAGACUAAGGGAAGUAAUUUGCUCGUUUUUACAACUAGAAAGUGAUGGAAGUGAUAUUUAAACUUUGGUCUGUCUGAUAGCAAGCCUGAGCCCAUAUUAUAUAGCUUCUAAAGAAAAGUGUUAACUUUUCAAUAUUAAAUAUUGCAUAAACCAUAUAUAUACAGCUUUAAAACAGUUAACUGAUGUCUUAUUCUGUCCUUUCUUCAUUUAACAAACAUCGACUCAGCCCCUAUGAUGCUUUAGCCACUAUACUAGACACAACAAAGAACCGCAGGUAAACGUCUCAGAGGUCAUUGCUGAUGUUUAGACAUUUCUGUUAGAAUACUUCCCAUAGUCCCUCGCUCUGAUGCCACUUGAGCGUGCCAGCCUGGUUUCCAAUUCCCAGCUCCUGCAUUUUGCGGCUUGAGAGCUUCCUUUGGCUCCCCCAAAACCUGCUUUGUCUGCCUAUGUGGUCAGCUGCCGGUACCCUGGAAUCAACGCCUCUCAGGAACAACUUCAUCCAAAGACUGAUGGCAGCUAGUAUAUAAACACUCCAGCUCCAUCUCUCAGGUGGGAUAAUUCUGAGGAAUUUACUUUGUGAGGCCCCCUGGAACAAAGGAUACUUAGGGAACAAGGGUAGGGGAAACCGAAGCUUGGAAUCUCCAGCCUGCUGGCUCCGGUCUCCUGUUGCAAUGCUGCCCUUAACCUCGCUGGGCAUCAACUACACCAGAAGAGCACUGGCUAUGAUCUCUGGAGUCUCCCACUUCAGAUCUUGGCUUUUUGGUCACCAGGCAUGUCCCCGACCAGGGAUUGAACCUGCACUCCUGGCAUUGGAAAGUGAAGUCUUAACCUCGGGACCACCAGGGAAGCCCCUACACCAGUCUUCUUAAAGGACACAAGUUUCACAAGUAAUUGCCCCAAAGAUGACAACUUUAAUUUUCUUCAAAGAGUGCCUUGAUUGUGGCCAGCUAUUAGCAAUCUUUCUCUCCAUGUUUUUAAGGCAAUAUUCUCUUUCAGCUUUGCUGAGGGACCCCAGUUUGACACAGUGUGAGAUGUUAAGAAGGUUCUGGUAUGUGAUCAGCAGAUGAAAACAAGGAAUCCCCAAACUGCAGGGUCAUUGAUGGAC
ensembl:lncRNA